GAUGAACGCUGGCGGCGUGCCUAAUACAUGCAAGUCGAGCGAACAGACGAGGAGCUUGCUCCUUUGACGUUAGCGGCGGACGGGUGAGUAACACGUGGGUAACCUACCUAUAAGACUGGGAUAACUUCGGGAAACCGGUGCUAAUACCGGAUAAUAUUUCGAACCGCAUGGUUCGAUAGUGAAAGAUGGCUUUGCUAUCACUUAUAGAUGGACCUGCGCCGUAUUAGCUAGUUGGUAAGGUAACGGCUUACCAAGGCAACGAUACGUAGCCGACCUGAGAGGGUGAUCGGCCACACUGGAACUGAGACACGGUCCAGACUCCUACGGGAGGCAGCAGUAGGGAAUCUUCCGCAAUGGGCGAAAGCCUGACGGAGCAACGCCGCGUGAGUGAUGAAGGUCUUCGGAUCGUAAAACUCUGUUAUUAGGGAAGAACAAACGUGUAAGUAACUGUGCACGUCUUGACGGUACCUAAUCAGAAAGCCACGGCUAACUACGUG
rnacentral:rRNA from 1 species